CACUGAAAUAAAAAUGCCAAAGCCCGUGCUAAUACUCAGUAGUCAUUUACAAAAACAGACAAACUCACUCAAACAGAGAAUAUUCUGGUGAGCUACCGGCGAAGAUCUGCUCAAACAAGUAUUUUGUAGGAGUUCUACAAACGUUUAUCUUUUUGCAUCUAGUAGAAUGAGUGUUCUUCUACUGAUGCGGCUUCAAGUGCGCUGUCCACUAGCUGUGCACCAUCCAGCCAUGGUACCUCUACCGGCUUUGCGCCGGCCACUACCUAUAAGCUGUCUACUAAAGCCAGCAACCACAUUGCUGCUACCUGGCCCUCUACCACCUAUAUACAGGAUGGUAGCUGAACCGGUGGGUUUUGGUGGCGGUAACCCCCGUGUUGCGGAACCGGUGGGAUCUGGUGGCGGAUGGUACGCACCGAUUUCUCAACAUUGAAGAUACCUAUCUUAUAUGUUAAAUGAUUUGGAUUUUCACAGUAUCUUUACCUAUUUUGUAUUUAAAUGGUUAUUUUUAAAAAAAUUUAUAUAAGCUAAUGGUGAAAAUGAGCUGGUAUCAUAAGCUAAAAAAAAAAAGAAAAAAAAAAAGAAAAGAUAGUUGAAAUUUUUUUCCUCACUGUUGAUUUAAAGUUAUCAGGUCUGAUCGUGUGUCAAGUGUUAUUAUUUGUGAAAUUUAAGGAAAUAAGACUUUCACGAUUACAUGAAAUCACAUUAUCAUUUCUCUUAUUGGUUGGCAAUUUCUGCUCGACCCGCAGGUACUUGGCCCGAUAAAAAAAGGGUCAAGUAUGGGUUUAAAAAAAAAAAAACCCGAAGCGGGUUCAGGGGUUUUCCAAAACCUGGCCCGAACCCGGACCGGACCCGGUUACAUAUACAGUUACUAAAAUACCCUCUCAUAUAUAUAGUUAUAAACCCUAAAAUUUUCUAUUCCUCAUUUCAUUUCACCUCACAGCCUAGCACAUCCGCCUCUCAUCUCCAGCUUACAAUCUCACUCACUCUGUCUCAGCUCUCUGACUCACUGUCUCACACGGCCGCCUCUCCCUCUUCAUCUCUCAAGCACAGGCACAGCUCUCUACUCUCCCAACUUCGUUUCGUCCUCGCUGUCGCCGAACUCACACUGUCGGACAGCCCUCUACCCCUCUCAUCUUCCUCACCCAUGGCCUCACGGCCUCGCUCCACCUCGAUCUCCAUUUUUUUCUGGGUUCAGUUCGUCUCAAUGUGAGUUUAUGUUUGUGUUUGUGAUUUUGAAAGGGAAAAUCAUAGAUCUAAAAUUUGUGUUUGGUUUGUGAUUUUGAAAGAAAAAUCAUAGAUCUGACAUUUGUGUUUGGGAUUUCUAUAUUUAUGUUUGUGAUCGUGUUUGGAUUUGUGUUUGUGUUUGUGAUUUUGGGCCGAAAAAUUAUAAAUCGAAGUAUGUGUUUCUGAUUUUGGGCAUUGCUGGGCAUGAGGGGACGGGGCCCGCGUAGGCCCGACGGGGCAGGUCUGGGUAUGAAAAAACCCGGCCCGAACCCAACCCGUUGCCAUGCGAUGCUCUUUCUCUUUUCUUGUGUGUCAUGUAUUUGUAUUUUAUUUGUUAUGGCCUUAUCGCGAUCAUGAGCUUUUUCUUA